AGAUAUGUACGAUCAUAACCUCUUAUUUGAAGAUAAUUUAUUAACCCCUGUAAUUUACUUCGCGCCGCAAAUAAUUAAUAAACCUAAAUUUAUAUUAUCAGAAAGAAAGCUUUUUAAAGCUAUACACUUAACCCAUGUUAGAUCCUUUAUGCAUUUUUUGUUUAAACACAGAAUUUAAUUGUGGGUUUAGAAAUAUUAUCAGAACAAACAACGAUUAUUUCUCUAAACAAAAUGAGACAACUCAUCUUUGCAAUGGAUACGAGUUCUGUUUUCUGUGAUGCAGACACAUAAUUUUUAAACAUUAUUUUGGCAAACUCCGUGCUUAAAAUGGGUUUAAAUAAGAAUAAAAACCAUAAUCAUUAUAUUCGCAAGUCCACACGACGUUAAAACUCAGAAGACCAACAACGACAUAUUUACUGUCGUCAAAACGUUAUAUCUCGCAAAGCUCACAUUUGGAUUUUAUGCGUCGUUUUAGAUGCAUACUUAAACCUACGAUAAUUCCAGGUUGUCUUGGAAAGGAGCUAGAAAAAUUCUAGUUAAAUACGUAGAGGAAGUCAGAGAUUAAACAUUCUGUGGAAUUCCAAAGAGCAAACAUGGCCUACUCUUCUUUCAGACGUUUAAAACAAUUGAGUCACUCUGCGUGCUUCACACUUCUUUGACCGUAUAUUCUUUGUGAUACGGCCUCGACAUGUCGGCAAAGAGGACUUCAAGAUCAUCAAACUUCUAGGAAAAGGAGGGUUUGGCGAAGUUUCCCUGGCGAGGAAGAAGGACUGAAGCGAUGCCGGGAAACUUUACACCAUAGAGGUAAUGAAGAGGAGGUUACUGAAGAGAAAGGACAUCGACCACGCAUGGACGGAGCAUCGCGUGUUUGAAAAAACGCGUGACUGUCCGUUCCUAGUGCAGCUGCACUACGCGUUUCUGUCGAAUGAACGCCUGCAUCUCGUAAUGGGUGAGUACAUCAAACGAAACAUCACAGUAACUAAAUGUGUAAGGUCCUCAUACGUACCCUGUUUGUGGAAUAAUCCUUCGCUCUCCGUUAAAUUAUUUCACUUUUUAGUCUUCUGCGGGGCUUCGAUUUGUAAUUAUACAGUUGCCGAAUUAAACAUACAAUUCAUCAGCAUUCAGUGGCCUAAGAGUCCUCAUAACAACGCGAUCUCGUCUUUAUUGUUGCAGAUUACGUCGCAGGAAAAGACUUCAUUGAACUGCUGGUGCAGCGAGGAUGGCUUACAGAGAAUGAAGCAAGAUUCUUCUC